UGCUUCUAUCGUUUAAUUGGUGCAAGACAUUGUUUUUUCGUAACAGUAACGUGAGUUCGAAUCUCACUAGAAGUAU
rnacentral:tRNA from 1 species